rnacentral:misc_RNA from 1 species
AAGUCGUAACAAGGUUUCCGUAGGUGAACCUGCGGAAGGAUCAUUACCAAAUCCAAAUACCCAAACCCCAUGUGAAUUAUUGUAUAGUCUGUCUUUGGGAGAAAAAACGAAAGAAAUUUUCGGAAAUUAAAAACUUUUGAAAAUCCUGGAAAUUUUUUCUCCCAAUAGAGUCCGGCGCAAACUUUAUUGGUUGCGUCCAGAUUCGAAACCCCCUUUUUUAAACCACUUGAUUUUUCUGUUGGAAUUUACUUUUAUUAAUUUUAAAUAAAAGACAACUUUUAACGGCGGAUCUCUUGGCUCGU